UCCAGCUUAUCACCGGCGGUCUCCUUAGAGUUCCCAGCAUUACCUGAUGGCAACUAAGGACGAGGGUUGCGCUCGUUGCGGGACUUAACCCAACACCUCACGGCACGAGCUGACGACAGCCAUGCAGCACCUGUGCACCAGUCCCCGAAGGGAAAGCCGACUUUCACCGGCGGUCCAAUGCAUGUCAAACCCAGGUAAGGUUCUUCGCGUUGCCUCGAAUUAAACCACAUACUCCACCGCUUGUGCGGGCCCCCGUCAAUUCCUUUGAGUUUCAAUCUUGCGAUCGUACUCCCCAGGCGGGGUACUUAUUGCGUUAGCUGCGGCGCCGGGGGGGUCGAUACCCCCGACACCUAGUACCCAACGUUUACCGCUUGGACUAC
rnacentral:misc_RNA from 1 species